CCUACGGGAGGCAGCAGUGGGGAAUAUUGGGCAAUGGAGGCAACUCUGACCCAGCAACGCCGCGUGAAUGAUGAAGGUCUUCGGAUUGUAAAGUUCUUUUCUAAGGGAAGAAGAAAGUGACGGUACCUUCGGAAUAAGCCUCGGCUAACUACGUGCAAGCAGCCGCGGUAAUACGUAGGAGGCAAGCGUUAUCCGGAAGGACUGGGUGUAAAGGGUGCGUAGGUGGUUUGACAAGUUAGUAGCGAAACUCCGGGGCUCAACUUCGGAACUACUACUGAAACUGUCGGACUUGAGUGCAGGAGGGGCAAGCGGAAUUCGUAGUGUAGCGGUGGAAUGCGUAGAUAUUAGGAGGAACACCAGUGGCGAAGGCAGAUUGCUAGACUGUAACUGACACUGAGGCACGAAAGCGUGGGGAGCAAACAGGAUUAGAUACCCGAGUAGUC
rnacentral:rRNA from 1 species